rnacentral:rRNA from 1 species
AUUGAACGCUGGCGGCAUACCUUACACAUGCAAGUCGAACGGCAGCACGGGUGCUCGCACCUGGUGGCGAGUGGCGAACGGGUGAGUAAUACAUCGGAACGUACCUUAUCGUGGGGGAUAACGCAGCGAAAGCUGUGCUAAUACCGCAUACGCCCUGAGGGGGAAAGCGGGGGAUCGCAAGACCUCGCGCGAUUAGAGCGGCCGAUGCCUGAUUAGCUUGUUGGUGGGGUAAAAGCCCACCAAGGCGACGAUCAGUAGCUGGUCUGAGAGGACGAUCAGCCACACUGGGACUGAGACACGGCCCAGACUCCUACGGGAGGCAGCAGUGGGGAAUUUUGGACAAUGGGGGCAACCCUGAUCCAGCAAUGCCGCGUGAGUGAAGAAGGCCUUCGGGUUGUAAAGCUCUUUUGUCAGGGAAGAAACACCGGCUCUAACACAGUCUGGGAAUGACGGUACCUGAAGAAUAAGCACCGGCUAACUACGUGCCAGCAGCCGCCGUAA